rnacentral:rRNA from 1 species
CACGGAGACCCCUAGCGUUGUUCGGAAUCACUGGGCUUAAAGCGCGUGUAGGCGGAACGGAAAGUAUCUUGUGAAAGCCCCCGGCUCAACCGGGGAAUUGCUCGGUAUACUAUCGUUCUUGAGGCAGGUAGGGGCUGCUGGAACCUUAGGUGGAGCGGUGAAAUGCGUAGAUAUCUAAGGGAACGCCUGUGGCGAAAGCGGGCAGCUGGACCUGUUCUGACGCUGAGACGCGAAAGCGUAGGGAGCGAACGGGAUUAGAUACCCCCGUA